rnacentral:rRNA from 1 species
UACGUAGGGUGCGGGCGUUGUCCGGAUUUAUUGGGCGUAAAGAGCUCGUAGGCGGUUUGUCGCGUCGGCCGUGAAAUCUCCACGCUUAACGUGGAGCGUGCGGUCGAUACGGGCAGACUUGAGUUCGGUAGGGGAGACUGGAAUUCCUGGUGUAGCGGUGAAAUGCGCAGAUAUCAGGAGGAACACCGGUGGCGAAGGCGGGUCUCUGGGCCGAUACUGACGCUGAGGAGCGAAAGCGUGGGGAGCGAACAGG